CAGCAGCCGCGGUAAUACGUAGGUCCCGAGCAUUGUCCGGAUUUAUUGGGCGUAAAGGGCUCGCAGGCGGUUUCUUAAGUCUGAUGUGAAAGCCCCCGGCUCAACCGGGGAGGGUCAUUGGAAACUGGGAAACUUGAGUGCAGAAGAGGAGAGUGGAAUUCCACGUGUAGCGGUGAAAUGCGUAGAGAUGUGGAGGAACACCAGUGGCGAAGGCGACUCUCUGGUCUGUAACUGACGCUGAGGAGUGAAAGCGUGGGGAGCGAACAGGAUUAGAUACCCCAGUAGUCCCUGUCUCUUAUAC
rnacentral:rRNA from 1 species